UACGUAGGGGGCGAGCGUUGUCCGGAAUUAUUGGGCGUAAAGAGCGUGUAGGCGGUUCGGUAAGUCUGCCGUGAAAACCUGGGGCUCAACCCCGGGCGUGCGGUGGAUACUGCCGGGCUAGAGGGUGGUAGAGGCGAGUGGAAUUCCCGGUGUAGCGGUGAAAUGCGCAGAUAUCAGGAGGAACACCAAUUGCGAAGGCAGCUCGCUGGGACGUGACUGACGCUGAGACGCGAAAGCGUGGGGAGCGAACAGG
rnacentral:rRNA from 1 species